ensembl:lncRNA
GUAGAACCAAGCUGGGCUGAACAAACAUAACCUUUUCUACCUGACUGCCCCAAUCAGUUCUGGGCAUUUGACUCCAGUCCAAGGACUGUUUCUAGCUCAGCAGCUUCCCUCUUUGAAAGCUAUCCAGGGCAGCACAGGAGGUGAGGGUGGGCUGGGAGGCAGAAAGCCUGGCUUCACCUAGCUCUGCCAUGAACAUGCUGUAUGACCUUGAGGAAUCCACCUCCCCUCUCUGGUCUCAGUUUCCUCAACUGUAGCAAGGGAAGAAUGAUCUCAGCACAUACAGCACAGUGGCUACCACCAUGCCUUCCUCCAGGCCAAGACUGACAGUCUUCCUUGACUGAAUCCCUUGUAGAGAUCUGGAUCUGGAAACCGAAUUGCCUGGAGGGAGGCAGGCCUCAGGACAUCAUUUACUGGCAUGGAC